UACGGAGGGGUGCGAGCGUUGUCCGGAAUCACUGGGCGUAAAGGGCGCGUAGGUGGCGCGGGAAGUCAACGGUGAAAGUUCGGGGCUCAACCCUGAAUCGGGCCCGUCGAUACUCCCGGGCUCGAGCACUGUAGAGGCAGAUGGAAUUCCGGGUGUAGCGGUGGAAUGCGUAGAGGAUCCGGAAGAACACCGGUGGCGAAGGCGGUCUGCUGGGCAGUUGCUGGACACUGAGGCGCGACAGCGGUGGGGAGCAAACAGG
rnacentral:rRNA from 1 species